rnacentral:rRNA from 1 species
GAUGAACGCUGGCGGCGUGCUUAACACAUGCAAGUCGAACGGAAAGGCCCAAGCUUGCUUGGGUACUCGAGUGGCGAACGGGUGAGUAACACGUGGGUGAUCUGCCCUGCACUUCGGGAUAAGCCUGGGAAACUGGGUCUAAUACCGGAUAGGACGAUGGUUUGGAUGCCAUUGUGGAAAGUUUUUUCGGUGUGGGAUGAGCUCGCGGCCUAUCAGCUUGUUGGUGGGGUAAUGGCCUACCAAGGCGUCGACGGGUAGCCGGCCUGAGAGGGUGUACGGCCACAUUGGGACGGAGAUACGGCCCAGACUCCUACGGGAGGCAGCAGUGGGGAAUAUUGCACAAUGGGCGCAAGCCUGACGCAGCGACGCCGCGUGGGGGAUGACGGCCUUCGGGUUGUAAACUCCUUUCGCUAGGGACGAAGCGUUUUUGUGACGGUACCUGGAGAAGAAGCACCGGCUAACUACGUG